CCUAAACUCUUCUGGAUAAAAUAAAACAAUUAGAAUAUUAAUACAUAAUAAGUGACAAUUUUUGAGGACAGAUUUUCAUAUAUUUGGGAUGUUAAUACUGGUAUGUAUUCAUAACAUUUAAAAAAUACAUGCAACUCUUUAUGUUCUGGUGCAGUGAGACAGAUUCUACUCUCAGACUGACACUAUUCACAUAAUGUCGAAGUCCUAUAUUUGAAAAAAUGAGAGGACUUAGUGAGUUGAACAAAUUGAUUGCUAAGACCCCUAAUGGUUCUAAUCUCUUUUUUGUUUUUUUUUUGUUUUUUUUUGCCUCAGGGUCUGAAACAGCUCUGUUGCCUAGGUUGGAGUGCACUGAGCAUGGCUCACUACAGCUUGAACCUCCAGGGUUCAAGCAAUCCUCCUCCCUGAGCCUCCUGAUUAGCUGGGACCAGAGGCGUGCACCACCAUGCUCAGCCAGUUUUUAAAUUUUGUUUUGUAGAGACAGGAUCUCUCCAUGUUGCCUAGGCUGGUCGCAAGCUCCUGGGCUCAAGCAAUCUUCCCCCGUCGGCCUCCCAAAUUGCUAGGAUUAUAAACAUUAGCCACUGCACCCAGCUUCAAAUGGUUCUAAAAUUGUGUUAUUUUAAGAAGUUAGCUUUGUCCAUUUGAUAUGACCCCUAAAAAGUAUUCUAUUGGAAUUAAAGAUGUACUUCUGAACAUUAGUAAGUAUAUAUUUUCUGAAUAUCUUCCUUAUUUAUUUUUCUAAAAUUUAUCUAAACUUCAGUGAAAAAUUCAUUAAUU
rnacentral:lncRNA from 10 species